UACAGAGGUCCCAAGCGUUGUUCGGAUUCACUGGGCGUAAAGGGUGCGUAGGUGGUCGGGUAAGUCUGAUGUGAAAUCUCCGGGCCUAACCCGGAAACUGCAUCGGAUACUAUUCGGCUGGAGGGUUGGAGGGGGGACUGGAAUACUUGGUGUAGCGGUGGAAUGCGCAGAUAUCAGGAGGAACACCGAUGGCGAAGGCAGAUCUCUGGGCCGUAACUGACGCUGAGGAGCGAAAGCAUGGGGAGCGAACAGG
rnacentral:rRNA from 1 species